GACGAACGCUGGCGGCGUGCCUAAUACAUGCAAGUCGAGCGGACAGAAGAGAGCUUGCUCCCGGAAGUUAGCGGCGGACGGGUGAGUAACACGUGGGCAACCUACCCUGUAGAUCGGGAUAACAUCGAGAAAUCGGUGCUAAUACCGGAUAAUCAUUUGAAGUGCAUGCUUCGAAUGUAAAAGAUGGCUCCGGCUAUCACUACGGGAUGGGCCCGCGGCGCAUUAGCUAGUUGGUAAGGUAAUGGCUUACCAAGGCAACGAUGCGUAGCCGACCUGAGAGGGUGAUCGGCCACACGGGGACUGAGACACGGCCCAGACUCCUACGGGAGGCAGCAGUAGGGAAUCUUCCGCAAUGGACGAAAGUCUGACGGAGCAACGCCGCGUGAGUGAUGAAGGUUUUCGGAUCGUAAAGCUCUGUUGUUAGGGAAGAACAAGUGCCGUUUGAAUAAGGCGGCACCUUGACGGUACCUAACCAGAAAGCCACGGCUAACUACGUGCCAGCAGCCGCAGUAAGAC
rnacentral:rRNA from 1 species